UACGAAGGAGGCUAGCGUUGCUCGGAAUUACUGGGCGUAAAGCGCACGUAGGCGGCUUCUUAAGUCGGUGGUGAAAUCCUGGAGCUCAACUCCAGAACUGCCUUCGAUACUGGGAAGCUCGAGUCCGGGAGAGGUGAGUGGAACUGCGAGUGUAGAGGUGAAAUUCGUAGAUAUUCGCAAGAACACCAGUGGCGAAGGCGGCUCACUGGCCCGGUACUGACGCUGAGGUGCGAAAGCGUGGGGAGCAAACAGG
rnacentral:rRNA from 1 species